GAAGCCAAUUCAACUUAAAAAGUUAAGUUUAGCUUAAAGCCAAACAUCAAACUUGGUUGAUCCAAAAGAGUUUAGUAGAUAUAUAUCGUUAUUCUUUCGUAAAAUUCCUAGGCGUUUCACGAAGGAGACGAAGGAUUUGACAAGAGGAGUCGAGAAUGCCCCUACCCAAUGUCCCAAAUCACAUGCCGAACCACCGCAUCCCCUCCCUCCCUUCGUAAAUCAGACCACAAGGGCUACCUGGCUGUGUCCCUGAUACACGGGGCCGAGAAAAGAAGUAGAGGAGGAGGGCCACGCGCAGUCAAAGCCGGCAGCGAGUGAGGGUAGUGUCACUGCUGUGAGCAGGACACAGUGAGCAGCAAUGAACGGACAGGAUCGAAACUAGCAUCUGAUCGAACGGUCACCGUUGGAAUGACCGUGAGAGCCCCUCUCAGGUUCAGGAAGCUUCCAGCAGUUUCUUUCUUGCCCUGGACCACUUUCCCCUCUCUCUUCCCCCAGAUCAGCUCCAGAGCUCUCCCGGCGACCGGCGCACCUCUUCUCGCCGGCACUUCUCCCCUUCCGGCGCAGCUCCUCGACGGAUCACCUCGCUCGCCACAUCGGCCGCAGAUGGCAGAUCCCGGCGCCGGCGGUGACCUUUGGGCAGUCCUUCGACGCGCUCUGUUCAUGUUGGUGACUUCCCUCUCUCCGAUCGCAGCGUCGUACAGGGUGUUCUUGCUGCACAACAAUCUCAGGCGGCCGAAGCAGAAGAAGAUGAAGGAGGAGCAGGAUCUGCGGCGGCACGAGCUUCUCCGGCGCGAGCAGGAGCCCCGGGCAUAGGUGGCCGGCCUGCAGGCCGCCCUUGCCUGGAAGCUCGCUCUUGCCGUUGACGGUAAGUGACGGACGAGGUGCUUGGUGUGCCCGUGUCAUCGUGUGAACCUCAGUUGUACCCGUCUGACGAUUAAUCGUGUGCCCUAGGAGUAGGAAGCGAUGCCCCUUGCUUGUUUAGAAGCAUCUGAUGUUUGUCACCAACUUGAUCUAGUUUUAUUAGUAUGUAGUUUGAACUACCCUGUGUCAA